GCUAUAUGGUUCAUCCGGGGGAGAGAUUGAGCUUCAAGAGCAAUACAAGCGUCGUACUGCUAGGCGAAACAGCCCGAAUACCGUACCCUAGAUGGCGAAAGUCCAGUAUCCGAAAGCAUCACUAGCUAUGCAAUGACCCGAGUAGCACGAGGCAUGUGGAAUCCCGUGUGAAUCAGCAAGGACCACCUUGCAAGGC
rnacentral:ncRNA from 1 species